rnacentral:rRNA from 1 species
UGGGGAAUAUUGCACAAUGGGCGCAAGCCUGAUGCAGCCAUGCGCGUGUGUGAAGAAGGCCUUCGGGUUGUAAAGCACUUUCAGCGGGGAGGAAGGCGAUAAGGUUAAUAACCUUGUCGAUUGACGUUACCCGCAGAAGAAGCACCGGCUAACUCCGUGCCAGCAGCCGCGGUAAUACGGAGGGUGCAAGCGUUAAUCGGAAUUACUGGGCGUAAAGCGCACGCAGGCGGUCUGUCAAGUCGGAUGUGAAAUCCCCGGGCUCACCCUGGGAACUGCAUUCGAAACUGGCAGGCUAGAGUCUUGUAGAGGGGGGUAGAAUUCCAGGUGUAGCGGUGAAAUGCGUAGAGAUCUGGAGGAAUACCGGUGGCGAAGGCGGCCCCCUGGACAAAGACUGACGCUCAGGUGCGAAAGCGUGGGGAGCAAACAGG